UCCACGUGACAGACAGCAUUUAUUUCAGAGUCCAGUGUUCACAAAUGAUGGGCUGAGGAUGAAGGCAGGGAAGGGGUGGGUUGGGGACUCCAGUGUCAGACUACACAGCAGGGUAUCAGGUGGGGGGUAGUGCCCAGCAAGGGAGACAGGAGGUAAAAAUAACCCCGGCCUGCCGACCCUCAGCGCUGUGUCCCAGGCCGGGCCCUGGGCUUGGGUCCAGGAGCUAUUCUGGGGCCUGGGAGAGUUACAUUCCCUGGAGGAAGGCCCCCUCCCAGCCCCCACCUCCCUCUUUCCCUCCCCAAGGCCGCUGGCCACUGUGGGUCCCUGCCCAGCAGGCAGAGGAAGGAAGGGAGGGCCGAGGCUGGAGAAGGAAGGAGGCGGAGGCAUGCGCUGAGGCAGAGACGUGCUCAGAGCAGGUCAGCAUGACUUCAUCGCCUUCCGUCCAGCUAGUGCCUGAUUUGGGUUUUAUUUCAUUUGGUUUUAACU
rnacentral:lncRNA from 1 species